rnacentral:rRNA from 1 species
AUUGAACGCUGGCGGCAUGCCUUACACAUGCAAGUCGAACGGUAACAGGUCUUCGGAUGCUGACGAGUGGCGAACGGGUGAGUAAUACAUCGGAACGUGCCCGAGAGUGGGGGAUAACGAAGCGAAAGCUUUGCUAAUACCGCAUACGAUCUCAGGAUGAAAGCAGGGGACCGCAAGGCCUUGCGCUCACGGAGCGGCCGAUGGCAGAUUAGGUAGUUGGUGGGAUAAAAGCUUACCAAGCCGACGAUCUGUAGCUGGUCUGAGAGGACGAACAGCCACACUGGAGCUGAGACACGGCACAGACUACUACGGGAGGCAGGAGUGGGGAAUUUUGGACAAUGGGCGCAAGCCUGAUCCAGCCAUGCCGCGUGCAGGAUGAAGGCCUUCGGGUUGUAAACUGCUUUUGUACGGAACGAAAAGACUCCUUCUAAUAAAGGGGGUCCAUGACGGUACCGUAAGAAUAAGCACCGGCUAACUACGUGCCAGCCGCCGCUGUAACAC